CAUUCCACGAGUUCCGUGCCGCAGCUAACGCAUUAAGCGCCCCGCCUGGGGAGUACGGCCGCAAGGCUAAAACUCAAAGGAAUUGACGGGGGCCCGCACAAGCGGCGGAGCAUGUUGCUUAAUUCGAUGCAACGCGAAGAACCUUACCUAGGCUUGACAUGCACGGAAAUCCUCCAGAGAUGGUGGGUCCGUAAGGGCCGUGCACAGGUGGUGCAUGGUUGUCGUCAGCUCGUGUCGUGAGAUGUUGGGUUAAGUCCCGCAACGAGCGCAACCCUUGUUCUAUGUUGCCAGCACGUCAUGGUGGGGACUCAUAGGAGACUGCCGGGGUCAACUCGGAGGAAGGUGGGGAUGACGUCAAAUCAUCAUGCCCCUUAUGUCUAGGGCUGCAAACAUGCUACAAUGGCCGGUACAAAGGGCUGCGAUACCGCGAGGUGGAGCGAAUCCCAAAAAGCCGGUCUCAGUUCGGAUUGGGGUCUGCAACUCGACCCCAUGAAGUUGGAGUCGCUAGUAAUCGCAGAUCAGCAACGCUGCGGUGAAUACGUUCCCGGGCCUUGUACACACCGCCCGUCACGUCACGAAAGUCGGUAACGCCCGAAGCC
rnacentral:rRNA from 1 species